GGGGGGGGGGGGGGGGGGGGGGGGGGGGGGGGGGUGGGGGGGCGGGGGGGGGGGGGGGGGCUCUGGCGGGGGGCGGGGGGCGGACGGGGGAGGGGUACAUCGGAAUCUACUUUUUCGGGGGGGGUAACGUAGGGAAACUUACGCUAAUACCGCAUACGACCUACGGGUGAAAGCAGGGGAUCUUCGGACCUUGCGCGAUUGAAUGAGCCGAUGUCGGAUUAGCUAGUUGGCGGGGUAAAGGCCCACCAAGGCGACGAUCCGUAGCUGGUCUGAGAGGAUGAUCAGCCACACUGGAACUGAGACACGGUCCAGACUCCUACGGGAGGCAGCAGUGGGGAAUAUUGGACAAUGGGCGCAAGCCUGAUCCAGCCAUACCGCGUGGGUGAAGAAGGCCUUCGGGUUGUAAAGCCCUUUUGUUGGGAAAGAAAAGCAGCAGGUUAAUACCCCGCUGUUCUGACGGUACCCAAAGAAUAAGCACCGGCUAACUUCGUG
rnacentral:rRNA from 1 species